rnacentral:rRNA from 1 species
AUACGAAGGGGGCAAGCGUUGUUCGGAAUAACUGGGCGUAAAGCGCACGUAGGCGGAAUGUUAAGUUAGAGGUGAAAUUCCAGGGCUCAACCCUGGAACUGCCUUUAAUACUGGCAAUCUAGAGACCGAGAGAGGUGAGUGGAAUUCCGAGUGUAGAGGUGAAAUUCGUAGAUAUUCGGAGGAACACCAGUGGCGAAGGCGGCUCACUGGCUCGGUACUGACGCUGAGGUGCGAAAGCGUGGGGAGCAAACAGGAUUAGAAACCCCUGUAGUCC